UUUACUCUUAGGUUCUCUUUUGUACUUGAUUGAUUUUGUUUACUUGGUUAGUCAGUUAUUGAAAUGUCUCCUGAAGAAAUGAGAGUUGAUUUUCUCAAAGCAAGCAGGUUGAGGAGGUUACCUGCUUAUUGUGGAUUUUAUCUAACUUCCAAUUAGUUGUCCCUUCAGGCUGAACAGAGUUGUGUUUGAAGUGAUUCAAGAACAAACAGACCUCUCAGUAUCUUCCAUUUGUAGUUUUCUAACAGUAUGGUUUUAAUCCCUCUACCAUACUGAAAUUUGGGAUUUGAUCAUUCUACUUUAGGUUG